AAAAUGAACCUUUUUCUCUGGUAAUUACUCAGAACUGUGGAAAAGAAUAAUGCAAAUCAGUUCAUCUGAAAUCAAAAUAUAAUACUGAACAGCUCAGACUAAUUUCCUCUUAAUAAGAGAAAUGAAAGGCCAAAAGAAACUUACAAAACCCAUAGCAGUGGAGUUCAAAUUUAAUCGUUUAUCAGAAAUGUAACAACUAGUCAGCAUUAGAAACGUGAUGUGAUAAAGACACCAAUCUCCUCUGUGAUUUCAUGCUCUCCAGUGUAGAUGCAAGACAGUACCACUACAGUGGGCCAACACAGGCAUGGAGACAGCUCCGGAUGUGCAAAACCCUUUCCUGUACAGUCCAUCAUCUAAAGGGACAUAUUUCUGUUUGACUUCCACUUGAUGCCUACUCAGCACAUCCUUCUAGCUGGAGUCAUUACUGUAGUGAGGUCACAAUCUACUCUCAGUUAAGCUGACAACAGGACAACAAGCCACGUCAUCAUCUAAGUGCUACAAUUUAUGAGGCAGGCUGGAGGACUAAUGAGUUAGUAGACUGGCUUCAGUACACUAAGACCACCUGUGAAGAGAUGGCAUUCGUACUUUGGGAACUUGUGCCUGGGAUGACUAUCAGAAGUGCUGGAAAGAAGGAUAAUUUUUAAGUAUACUGUGAAGAAAAUGUAUGACUGGAAUUAGGGAUUUUGUCAGUGCAAUAACCUUCAUGAUGUCUGACAGCGUGGAAGUUUCUAAAGUGACAAGCUGAUACACGGAAAUAAGACUAACAGAAGUGGUAUGAACAGUAUUGCUCUUUAGGAAAAACUUCCAGAAGUUGGCAGAAACCUUAGUGCACAGCCCAUAGAGCGUUGGAACGUUCAAAACAGCUACAAGCAAGCAAGCUGAUUUCACGUGUAUUUCAAGCCAGUAAGAACUGAGCUUAAAAAGAGUGUGAACUACAGCCAAAACGCCAUAUAAAUCAAAUGUAAGCUGCUUUAACUACAGAUAAGAUUAAAAAAAAAAAAAAACAAAACACACAAUAAUUAGUGCAAACAUCCAUAAAGAAUAGUUCCUCAACUUCCUUUUGCAACUCCCUUCUGCAUUUGGCUGCAGUACUGAAGAGAAAAUCAUAAAAAGUCAGAACCAGGAGUAUAAACCAAGACUCUAAAAGCAAAUGGUACAUUUUAGAUGCACCAAAAACUGAGUGACAACAGAAAACCACCAUGUAAUUUGAUACAUGUUACCUGGUGGGACUGGACUUUAAGAUAUAACCUUCUGCUAACCCUUCCCCAGAAUCAAGGUAUGCAUGCAGUGAAACCUGCCUGACACCAACUACCCUGCAGCCCGGUAUGGUUCCCAACAUCUUCAUGUGAUAGGGCUAGAACAGGAUGACAUUUCAACUCGCAAAGCUCAUGGGUAUUACAGCUACAUGGAUUUCCUAGGAACUAUAAUUUUGGCAGUUAUCUUUGUGCAUUAAGAAUUACCACUCAUCUUGUUCAAUAACUCCUGAAGAGAUUCAGAGGUGUCUUGUCCUGCAGACAUGAGAGCGAUAUGCAUCCAGUUGAACAAGAAAAUACUGGGUAAUCAAUUGUGUUUUUUUUUUUCUGCACCUUUGAAUAUCAAAGCUCAAAGGAAAAAAAAAGCUCUCCAAAUGCACCUCAAGUUAGAAUCAUGACUGAAGAAUCAGAAACUCAAAUAUCCCCAGCGCAACAAUGAACAGCUAUUUUUAAUAGGAAAAGUUAUUUGAUGAAAAUAAUUAUGCAAUUGUUAUCGCAGUUUAUCAGCCUCUGAUGUUCUGUGUGCCUUUGUAUAUUGAGAGAAGGAAAGAAGACAGCCGGGCUAAUUGAAGAGAAAUAGAUCUACAGGAACAAUCUCUGAUAGGAAACAUUUUGUGUGUUUUGUAACACACACUUCUCCCUUGUCAACAUAUCAUCUCCCAUACAUCAGGAUAACAGGGUGACUGGGCGAUCUAUCCAGUCAGCACAGCUCCUCAGAGAUAUAUUAACUUGUUCUGCAGAUGCAGUCGAGAUGGAGUUAUGAAAAUGUUGUAUUGCAAGAACAAAGUAGGAGAAGUAGGAGAAGGCAAGAUUGAAUCAUGGAUGAAUUCAGAUCCAGGAAAUUUCCACAUAACAUUUUUAAGUGAAAAACAAUCUUAAGAAGAAAGUUCAGGGGAGGACUAAACUUCCGUUUUGUUACUUGAGAUAUUCUUAGAGAAAACCUAAGGAGAGUUGACAUAUGGUCUCUCACAGAGAGGCUUUUAUGGAAGCUUGAAGGAAUGACAAACCAUGACAAGCUCAUCACACGCUCUUCCCAAGGCGAAUGUAUCCCUCUGUCCCCUUUGUAAACGGUUAUAAGUGAGACUUCUCACUGUAAUUCCUGGUGAAAUAGCUGAAUUCAGACAGAAAGGAUGGCUCCACAGCGCUUUAUUCUGAAGUAGAAAUGUACCUCUGACAACAUGCACACAUACAGGAUCUAAAAUGUCAGAACUCCUAGUCAUUCUCUCUACUCUAGGAAUUUCUUGCUAGAAAUCCUCUCAUGACUUCUUUUACAAAUAAGAUUGCAACUUAACUGCACACAAGCUCCCACCUUGUAAGAAUCAAUGGAAAAGAAUGAGAAGACAGAGCACAAGCCUGAUGAAAAAAAGAAAAAAAAAGAUGAUGUAACAUCUUUAGCCAUAUAUCUAAGGUUCUGUGAAUGAGUGAGAGCAGCGGGGGACAGUCAAGUAGAAAAGCACUGCUCCUGGUUGGAUUGCAAUGCCUAUCUGCUUGUCUCCAUCAAAUGCUUGUAUUUCACUGUGAAAUAAAGGGAAGAACCAAAAGCAAAUAAUCUUUCCAAACCUUGCCUGCAUGUGUUUGUUCAACUUCUACCAUUUCUAACUGCUUCAGAAACAAUGACCCCUGAGUCAUGGAGAUUUUAUCAACCUUCAGCUUUCAAAAGCAGAUGCAACAAAUCAUGUUUGGAUUUGUUUCCAGGCACCCCUUUAAGCCAGGUGACACAGACAGCUCCACUGAAGAACUGCUGAGUGUCUCAAUUCAUUCUAUUAGUAGAAGUGAUUUAGUAAGUAAAAAUAACUGCCUUGCUUUCUGAGCCAUCAGCUUUGUAUUUCAUCUAACGUCUCCUUAUCUGGGUACUCUAAGAGAUAUCAAAGAACGUAUAUGAUCUGCUUUGCUGCCUUACACUGGACCUUUCUUUGAAAUGUUUGAAAAGUCCUUACAAAUGCAAGACCAGUAGCUUUUAAGAUGCUUAGCAAACCCACUGUCUGUGUUGCCUACUUUCUGUAUGUUUGCUUGCUAAAAUGCAAAAUGAACAAUAAUAUUUUCUCUCUCUCUCUCAAUUGCAAACACUACAGAUGUUCACAAAAAAGUCCAAGGGAGACUUAAGAAUAUUUUCUCCUUUUAUCAGUAUUCAUAGACAAGACUAGAAGAAACAGGGCUCCAUAUCUGAAGUGAAGUAUACUGUAAAGGAUAUACGCAUGCAUACACAAAAAAUGAUACAUUCAUAUACUUUGCCACCAGCUUUCAGAAGAAACAUAUGGCUGAUAUACAUCUGACUCUUAGAAAUACCUAAGAUCUGAUACCAAUUUUUACUAAACAAAUUUCCCUG